rfam:Clostridium sp. CAG:354 genomic scaffold, scf97
GACAAUCUUUGAGCGCCAGGACACAUUUUUGUGUUGACGAGGUCAGAGCUAAUCGAAUUUUUCGGCGGGUACUCUGUGGUAUGCUACUACCAUAAAUAUUAGCAAAACCUACUAGUAAUAGUAGAACAAAUCUAAUUGUGUAGCUAU